AACCAAUCUAGAGGAGCCUGUCCUAUAAUCGAUACUCCACGUUACACCUUACCCCCCUUAGCCCUCAGCCUAUAUACCGCCGUCGUCAGCCUACCUUAUGAAAGAAACAAAGUAAGCAAAACAGUUAAUAACUAAAACGUCAGGUCAAGGUGUAGCACAUGGGGGGGCAGAGAUGGGCUACAUUUUUCAAAACGAACACACGGACAACAUGCUGAAACGCAUGUUUGAAGGUGGAUUUAGUAGUAAAAUAAACGAGAAACCUGUAUUGAAAACUGCUCUGAAGCGCGC
rnacentral:rRNA from 1 species